AUGCCGUGAUGAGGACAUUUUCUCAAUAGCUCCUUAAACCUAUCCCAAGAGUCAUAUAAAGAUUCCCCAUCUAACUAGUAGAAGUUAUUAUUCUCCCCCCAUGAUU